UAACAUCAUGAUUCGAUCCCAAAAUAGUAGUAAACAGAAUUUGAAGAAUACUGUGAUGAUGCAAAUUCUUUAAUACAGUUGGAAAAGCAGAACAAGUGAAGAGACAAAGCAAGAAGAAGACGACCUAACUGAGGCAGUAUUAACCAACAAGAAGCAGAAGAUGAAAGGAGAAUAAAUAAAUAAAAAAUUAAUUAAGAAAAAAAAGACGUUAAAGUGAAACGCAGGUUAGUUUGUAUCAUUUUUUGUAUCCUCUGUGACGUUCUCUCUUCACCGAACUCUCCCGCGGAUCCAGCACCGUACGCGGAGGAUACCAUCGCACACAAGAUCUUUCUCUCUCUCUCUCUCUCUCUCUCUCGAUGAACGAUUUCGAUGGUCUUUUAACCAACGAUUUCGGGUUCAAACCCCAAGGAAAAUCGGCGCCAAUGGCAGCAUCUAAAGCUUCAUCCAACAAUUCAUCUUCUCUCAACUUCGAUUUAGGUUCGCGGUCCGCUCGAGCUUCCAAUUCUUUGGCUGGCCACGACUCCGUCAACGCCGCUUCCUUUCACGAUCUCUUCAGUGGCGGUGGCAAGUCAGACGCGUCCUAUGACUUCGACUCCAUGUUUCGCGGCUCCGCCGAUUUCCGCUCCAAGUCCGUUAACCUCCCGGCUCAUGACAAACCGGUCUACGACAAACCGAUGCAUGACGACGACGACGACGACAUUUUUGACGGCGUUCCCGGCCUCAAGAGCUCCUCCAAGUUCUCCUACGGCGACGUUUUCGCUACGGCCGCGUUCGAUGAUCUUCUCGGCGGGUUAGGUAAAUCGAAGCCUUCGGAGAAGGAAGAGCGAGGUGUCGCGGAUUUUGAUGACUUGAUCCCUGGAUUCGGAAACAGCAAGGUUUCCACUGAUGGGACCGUUCCUAAUAUUGAUUUGUCAUCACAACCUACUAUCAAUUCUUCUAAAACGGCUUCUAGUGAAACAUAUGACCCUUUCAAAGUGUUUGAACCAACUUCAGCCCCAAUGGAUGCAUCCUCAACAUACUUUACAGACCCAUUGGGAGAAAUUAGUAAAUUUAGUAGUUCUAGAAGCACAAAAAAUGAUAGUAUGUCAAAUUCUAAUGGUGAAGUAUAUGAUGAUAUUAAUCCCUUUGGUGGACUUGGAAAUUCUGUGCCUGCAUUCUCAGCAGAGAGAAAUAGCACAAAGGGUAGUAGCUCCCCAAAUACAACCAGUGAUAAAGAAUCAAGUGGCGUAUCAUCUGUGAGGAGUCCUGAGAGACAAACACAAAACACGAUUCUUUUUGAUAAUGAUCAGGAAUUUCAUCAGGCUGCAUUUGACAUGCCUACAUAUUCCUCCAAUUCUUCCAAACCAUAUGGUGAAAGGUCCCCUUCACAUGAUAAUGAUGGUUUUAAACCGGCUAAUGCACAGGCAGAUAUGACUCCGAAAUAUGAAGAGGACUUUGAAUCAAAUGAUGAUGUAUGGCUGACGGUAUCAGAGAUUCCUCUUUUUACUCAGCCAACUGCUGCUCCACCACCUUCAAGACCUCCUCCUCCGCGACCAGUACAUAUCCUCAAGUCGGGAGGAGGUUCAUCUGCUUCUGCCAAUGUCAGAAAGGAUAGUGAAUUUUCUUCUUUUCCAAGUUCCACUCAAUUUUCUCAGGGUCCUAAAUCUACUCCUGCUGCAGCCAAAUUUUCUUCUGCAUUUCAGUUUGAUGAACUUGAAGAUUUUGCCAUGGGCAGGAGUCUUGGUAAUGACAAUGAACAUGGAAAUGGUCUUGCUGGUAAAGAAUUAGAGAUGAACUCAGCUGCUGCAGCGAUGAAAGUGGCUAUGGAUAAAGCAGAAGCUAAAUUUAGGCACGCAAAGGAAGUUAGGGAGAGGGAAAAUACGAAAGCUGUUAAGAGCAAGGAACCUGUCCAAUUGGAACAAGAUGGCAGAGCUGUGACAGAGGAUGGAGGAAAACAGGAAAGGCUAGAUCAUGAUUGGGAGCAAAAGCAGAGAGAGGAGAGAGAGGAAAGAAGACGUGAGAAAGAAAUGGAAGAGAAAGAAAGAGAGCAACAGAGACUUGAGAGAGAAAGAGAAAUGGCUAGACAGGCUGUAGAAAGAGCUACUAGAGAAGCGCGUGAAAGAGCAGCUGUUGAAGCUCGCCAAAGAGCUGAGAGGGCUGCUGUUGGGAGAGCUAAUGCAGAAGCUAGGAAGCGUGCUGAAAGGGCUGCAGUUCAGAGGGUACAAGCUGAAGCCCGUGAAAGGGCUGCUGCUGAGGCAAAGGAAAGGGCUGAGAAGACUGCAGCAGAGGCAAAAGAGAGGGAAGUGCGGGAACAAGCUGCAGCUGCAAGAGCUGAAUCUGAGGCAAGAGUUAAACAAGAACGUGCUGCGGUCGAAAGGGCUGCUGCAGAGGCUCGAGAAAGAGCUGCUGUGCAGGCUCGAGAAAGAGCUGCUGCUGCUGUAAGGAUGAACCAACAACAAAAUGACAAUGAUCUUGAAUCAUUCUUCAGCAAAGGUGCACGAGCAAACAGUGUUCCCAGGCCUCCUAGGUCCAGCACUUCAGACCCUGUAUUUGAUGCCCAAUUUCAGUCAAAAACUUCAGGUGUGUCUUCAAGCAUGAAGAAAGCAUCGUCAUCCACUAAUAUUGUUGAUGAUCUCUCCUCAAUUUUUGGAGCUGCUCCAUCAUCAUCUGGAGCGUUUCAGGAAGUUGAAGGGGAAAGUGAAGAAAGACGAAAAGCCAGGUUGGAACGCCAGCAGAGGGCUCAGGAUCGAGCGGUAUGCCUUACUGCUAAAGCAUUGGCUGAGAAGAAUCAACGGGACCUACAAACUCAAAGAGAGCAAGCUGAGAAACAUAGGCUCGGUGAAACAUUGGAUUUCGAAAUUAAGCGCUGGGCUGCAGGAAAAGAGGGGAACUUGCGUGCUUUGCUUUCCACCUUACAAUAUGUUCUGUGGCCUGAAUGUGGUUGGCAGCCAGUUUCUUUGACUGAUUUGAUUACAGCGGCAGCGGUCAGAAAGGUUUACAGGAAAGCUACAUUGUGCAUUCAUCCUGAUAAAGUGCAACAGAAGGGUGCUACUAUACAACAAAAAUGUAUUGCUGAGAAGGUUUUUGAUCUACUCAAGGAAGCAUGGAAUAAGUUCAAUUCAGAAGAGCUUUUCUAAUCUUAGACGAACUGAACAACGUCCAUGCAGUUUUGUUCUGGCCACUCUGAUGAAAGUUUCUAGCAUUGGCAAGGAGGAGGUGGAUGGGAUUUACUUAAUUAAUAAUCUACAUGGAAAGGUUUGUAUUUCCGAAGAUCAACGACGAUGGAGGCAACUGAGCCAAUAGCAGCUGCAACUGACACUACGAGGCAGACAAAGCUUAAUAUUUGCAUACCUAUCCAUCUCUGACUCCAUUUUGGGAUCUUCUUUUGUUUGAUACUCAUCUCUACAGGGAAGAAAACACUUAAAGGCCAAAACCCCAGUGCUCCAAGAAGUCCCAAGAUGUCAUUGAAGAAUGGAAGCAACAUUGCCACAAUAGUGGUUAUGAUAACAAAUCCUGUUCUCCAAACUAAUCUAAAUGGGCUUAAAUUGUAAGAUGCAAAGCCAGGUAUGGGAACUUUGUAUUCUCUAUCAACUUUGGGCCAUCUUUUUGAAGCCCAUUUCUCGACAAAGGCAAAUAGUGGCUGAGCAUAGACUUGGUAUGCUCCAACAAGGUGAAUUACGAUAGCAGCAUUAGCAAUAUCUACAAGCCAAUAUGGGUCGUAGAAACCAAAUCCAGUUAACAGGUUCCCAGGUGCGUCGUCCCCAAAAGCAGCGUAACCCAUGAAACCACAAAGCAUAUAAAAUGUUGUUGUUACACCAAUACUUAUCUUUGCGGCUCUUUUCAUUGUUUUUGCCUCAGAUGGUGGAGAUUUUAUUGUGUCCUGUGUAAUCAACAAUAUUUAAUUACUUUUGGAUAAAAUUUAUUUUCUUGUUACA